UACAGAGGGGGCAAGCGUUAUUCGGAAUUAUUGGGCGUAAAGGGCGCGUAGGCGGCUUGGCAAGUGGAAGGUGAAAUCCCUCGGCUUAACCGAGGAACUGCCCUCCAAACUGCUUUGCUUGAGGCCGGGAGAGGCGAGUGGAAUUCCCAGUGUAGCGGUGAAAUGCGUAGAUAUUGGGAGGAACACCAGUGGCGAAGGCGGCUCGCUGGACCGGUUCUGACGCUGAGGUGCGAAAGCUAGGGGAGCAAACGGG
rnacentral:rRNA from 1 species